rnacentral:lncRNA from 1 species
UUAUGAGUUUUUUGGUGCCGAGCAGGUUCAAAAUGUUCAAGGAGCCUAAGCAUGUUGAUGCUCAUCUUUCUUAGUUGGCGAGUCCCCAAGACUGACAACCCGUGGGGUCUAUGACUAUGGAGGUCGUAGUGACUCAAAUGGCUUAUGAGCUAUACGGGUAAGUUUUGUUGGAACCCUUUUUAUUUAAUUUUUCCGGUCAUUAAUAUGACACAUUAUUUCCCUUUUGCAGCACAUUGUGCUUACUUCAGGGACCUUAAAAAACAUUUGAGAGGGCGUGGCUAUGUCCAAGGAGGUGGUGAGGUAUAAUCGAGCAUUGAGGGCCGAAAACGAGAAGUUCAAAGAAUAAAGGGGAUCCUUUUUGGCCAGGACCGAAGCCGUGGAGAGGAGUGCCUAGAAAGGAUGGCUGAGUUUUCGGAGAGUGAGGCGGCUCGACUAUCCUAACUCAACAAGGGCAACUAUAGGCUUUUUGUUUCCCAAAUCGAGUCUUGAAAGCAUAUGAGGAGGUUCGAUUGAGGGAAGAGUGUUCCCGUUUAUCAGCCGAGAUAUAGGGUUUAAGGUCGGAGUUGGCCUUGACUGAGAAGAUAUCCCGGGCCAACAACACCGAUCGGGAAACCCUCCAAGUGUCUUUCAAAGACUUGCAGAAAGAAGUGAUCGUAAGAUAAGCUUGGGCCAUCAAAGAGACUCGCUUGCACACUCUUCAUGAGGUUCACACUAUUGCGGUGGAUUUUCAACUUGAGGUUCCCCAAUUAGAGGAAGAGGCAAGGGCUCUUGGUCGAUGACUUUGUCUCCCCUAUGCGGAUAUGCGAGGUCUUACCUAUGAUGAAGAUAAGGUGAGGACGAUAUUGAAGAUGACAAAGUGGGGGAAGUGACUCCUAUUCCCGAUCAGCCGGUCCUUUCUGGUGCUGUUGAUACGAAUUCUCCCUCUAUUUCCGGCACAAAUGUCAAUGAUUAGUUAUAGUUUUAGGCUUUGGAUUUUUGUGCUUCUUUUCUGUUCCAUAUUUAGGGCCCUUUGUACAAACAGAAUAUUUGAUGUAAUCCUGUUUGUUCCUUCAACUAUUUUUUCUGUAUUAGUGUUAUAGGUCAUAUAGGCUUCGAAGCUUUUAGACUUGAUCACUUUUGGGAUGAUUGCACAGUAUCGUGAUGAGCCUCAUUUUGGUGCGAAAAAGGAUGACGUGUCAUCCUAUUUGGGCACAAGAGUGAAAAUAUGGUCUCAUAAAGAUUGUAGAUUCCUUCUAUCAAGAGCUGAACAAAUAUAUAUAUAUAUAUAUAUUCUGCGAAACAUAUGAAUAAUUAGAAGAAAAGAAUUUCCUUUAUUUUAUAUCCAUCAUAUCAACGUUGGGUAGAUCCAAGCACCGUAUUACAUAGAUAAUCUUGACCGCUCUAACCGGAUCGUACAUACAGGCAUGCCAUGCUUAAGAAAUAACUUUUCUUGAAGGUCUAAUAAGAUUCAAAAGACUCAAAAUUCGGCAUAGAAAUUGGUCUUCAUAUACUUUGCUUUCAAAAUGGGGGGUUGCCAUUGGUUUUCGUAGACUUUGCUUUUGCCCAUGGUAUAUAGUCUCCCCC